rnacentral:rRNA from 1 species
AUUGAACGCUGGCGGGAUGCCUUACACAUGCAAGUCGAGCGGAGCGGCGAACGGGUGAGUAAUGCCUAGGAAUCUGCCUGGUAGUGGGGGAUACCUUCCGGAAGCGGGCGCUAAUCCCGCAUACUUUCGGAUCAGCCUCAGUCGGAUUAGCUAGUUGGUGGGGUAAAGGCCGACCAAGGCGACGAUCCGUAGCUGGUCUGAGAGGAUGAUCAGUCACACUGGGACUGAGACACGGUCCAGACUCCUACGGGAGGCAGCAGUGGGGAAUAGUGGACAAUGGGCGAAAGCCUGAUCCAGCCAUUCCGCGUGUGUGAAGAAGGCCUGCGGAUUGUAAAGCACUUUAAGCUGGGAAGCGGUACCAACAGAAUAAGCACCGGCUAACUACGUGCCAGCAGCCGCGGUAAUUC